rnacentral:rRNA from 1 species
GUGAGUAAUAUAUCGGAACGUGCCCAGUCGUGGGGGAUAACGUAGCGAAAGCUACGCUAAUACCGCAUACGAUCUAUGGAUGAAAGCGGGGGAUCGCAAGACCUCGCGCGAUUGGAGCGGCCGAUAUCAGAUUAGCUAGUUGGUGAGGUAAAGGCUCACCAAGGCGACGAUCUGUAGCUGGUCUGAGAGGACGACCAGCCACACUGGAACUGAGACACGGUCCAGACUCCUACGGGAGGCAGCAGUGGGGAAUUUUGGACAAUGGGCGAAAGCCUGAUCCAGCAAUGCCGCGUGCAGGAUGAAGGCCUUCGGGUUGUAAACUGCUUUUGUACGGAACGAAAAAGCUUUCUCUAAUAAAGAGAGCUCAUGACGGUACCGUAAGAAUAAGCACCGGCUAACUACGUGCCAGCAGCCGCGGUAAUACGUAGGGUGCGAGCGUUAAUCGGAAUUACUGGGCGUAAAGCGUGCGCAGGCGGUUAUGUAAGACAGAUGUGAAAUCCCCGGGCUCAACCUGGGACCUGCAUUUGUGACUGCAUAGCUAGAGUACGGUAGAGGGGGAUGGAAUUCCGCGUGUAGCAGUGAAAUGCGUAGAUAUGCGGAGGAACACCGAUGGCGAA